rnacentral:tRNA from 1 species
CAGAAGAUAGUUUAAAUAAAAAUAUAAACUUUGGGAGUUUAAGAUAGUCAUACUUUUUCUGA